rnacentral:tmRNA from 1 species
GGGGCCGACUGGUUUUGACAGCAGGUCGAAUUGAAUGGUAAGCACGCCGGGAACGGGGACAUAUCCCGUAAAUAAUGUCUCAAACAAUUAAACGGCGAAAAUAACUACGCUCUUGCUGCUUAAUUCUGAAUUUAUAGUAAGAAUAUAGCCACGUCCCUGCAAGGCAGGGAGGCGGGAUCCUUCUGAAAAGCCCUGGUUUAUGGCGUUUCGAUUAGAAGGACCGUAAAUAUAGACCUGGGGACAGUUUUGCUCUGCGGCUGUCCCGAGACUUAAGGAGCUAAGUGGUGUGUGGCAGUUUCCGGCCUUGCACACCAACGAAAACCCAAGCGGAAACUAAGCGUGUAGAAAGCUCUUGAAUUGCCUGUUUGGACCCGGGUUCGAUUCCCGGCGGCUCCACAA